rnacentral:misc_RNA from 1 species
GCCAAAUUCCAUUCUCCUGCAAAAAAACAAAGAAUUAUAAUUCCAACUAUAGGAAGAGAUUAGGAGAUAAAACGGGCAAAAAUUCUCAUAUAUUCAGCCGAAAGCGCAAAAAUUUCAAAUUUCUUGCUCACCCUUUGGCUAAAAAUGAAAAUGCAGGGCAGAAAAAAAGAAAGAAAACAAGAGAAAAUCUUUGAACUUCCACAUUUACUUGACGGGGAAAAUAAAGGACUUGUGAGCGUAAAACCAACAUUCUUCACUAACCACAGCUAAUCUCUCACUCCAAGACAACUAAAAUGAACCGCAAAAUACAAGAAAAUUUAACUUUUUUUUUCCUCUUUCUCAGUAACCAACCAAACAAAGAAAACAGAACUUCUGAUACUUUUUUCCCCUUAUCUUUUUAACAAAUCUGCACUUCGGACAGCAAAAUCUCUCCACCUUUUGACCUGUAAAAACUCUCCAAGAAAAUCUAAUGAAGAAAGGACUUAAAAUGAGAAAAUGUAAACAUUACAGCAAGAGAAUACUAGAACACCAUUAACUACCAUAAUCAGCAAUAAUGAGCAAAAAACACAGAGAGAGAGGGAAAUAGAGAGAAAUUGUAAGGAGAAUUUGGAACUUACAUUAAUGAAAACUGUAAGUAAUG